rnacentral:rRNA from 1 species
CCUACGGGAGGCUGCAGUGGGGAAUAUUGGACAAUGGGGGGAACCCUGAUCCAGCCAUGCCGCGUGUGUGAAGAAGGCCCCCGGGUUGUAAAGCACUUUCAGUGAGGAAGAACGCCUGGUGGUUAAUACCCAUCAGGAAAGACAUCACUCACAGAAGAAGCACCGGCUAACUCCGUGCCAGCAGCCGCGGUAAUACGGAGGGUGCGAGCGUUAAUCGGAAUUACUGGGCGUAAAGCGCGCGUAGGUGGCUUGAUAAGCCGGUUGUGAAAGCCCCGGGCUCAACCUGGGAACGGCAUCCGGAACUGUCAAGCUAGAGUGCAGGAGAGGAAGGUAGAAUUCCCGGUGUAGCGGUGAAAUGCGUAGAGAUCGGGAGGAAUACCAGUGGCGAAGGCGGCCUUCUGGACUGACACUGACACUGAGGUGCGAAAGCGUGGGUAGCAAACAGGAUUAGAUACCCGAGUAGUC